rnacentral:lncRNA from 1 species
GAUAAUCAUGAUUUGUUUUGGUUACACUAAUAAACUUGCGGCGCAUGGGGUGCUGUGGGAUGGAUGGGGGGUGCUUGAUCGGGGCUUCCUGGUUGGAUGUGGUUAUGUUGGCGGAGGCGUGGAAUGCAUUGGAUAUUUUGGGAUGCUUGGUGCGGGAUCUUGUGGACUGGGCUGUCUAAUUUGCCGGGGUAUCUGUGAGAUAAGAAUGUCUUCACUAUGUCCGCUUCCUCCAUAAGGGGUUUGUAGGCUCGCCAAACGGGUGGGGAGAUGUUGGCGUCCUUGUACCUAGCUGCAUCUUUGAAACACUCAUGAAAUAUUUAUUAUAGAUAUGACAGUAGAUUUUUUCACACAAACUAGAGAUGCUCUUAUGGCUAUCCCUAUAGCGAGCUAGCAGAAAUCUUAGAAAAAGUGAAGAAAUUGUCAUCCUUUCUAUUAAGGACUCCCUCAAGUUUUCUGCCCACUAAAUCAAUGACAUUUUUAUGAUUGUUGAUAAUAAGAAUGUUGCUAGCGAUUUCACUGCC